UACAGAGGGUGCAAGCGUUAAUCGGAAUUACUGGGCGUAAAGCGCACGUAGGCGGCUUUUUAAGUCGGAGGUGAAAUCCUGGAGCUCAACUCCAGAACUGCCUUCGAUACUGGAGCUUGAGUCCGGGAGAGGUGAGUGGAACUGCGAAUGUAGAGGUGAAAUUCGUAGAUAUUCGCAAGAACACCAGUGGCGAAGGCGGCUCACUGGCCCGGUACUGACGCUGAGGUGCGAAAGCGUGGGGAGCAAACAGGGAUUAAGAA
rnacentral:rRNA from 1 species